rnacentral:rRNA from 1 species
ACGAACGCUGGCGGCGUGCUUAACACCUGCAAGUCGAACGGAAAGGCCCCGCUUUUGUGGGGUGCUCGAGUGGCGAACGGGUGAGUAACACGUGAGUAACCUGCCCUUGACUUUGGGAUAACUUCAGGAAACCGGGGCUAAUACCGGAUAGGAGCUCCCGCUGCAUGGUGGGGGUUGGAAAGUUUCGGCGGUUGGGGAUGGACUCGCGGCUUAUCAGCUUGUUGGUGGGGUAGUGGCUUACCAAGGCUUUGACGGGUAGCCGGCCUGAGAGGGUGACCGGCCACAUUGGGACUGAGAUACGGCCCAGACUCCUACGGGAGGCAGCAGUGGGGAAUAUUGCACAAUGGGCGGAAGCCUGAUGCAGCAACGCCGCGUGCGGGAUGACGGCCUUCGGGUUGUAAACCGCUUUCGCCUGUGACGAAGCGUGAGUGACGGUAAUGGGUAAAGAAGCACCGGCUAACUACGUG